AGGAAAAUAGCUUAGUCGGUAGAGCAGCGGUUUCCAAAACCGAAGGUCAGGGGUUCAAGUCCCUUUUUUCCUG
rnacentral:tRNA from 1 species